AUACUUACCUGGCAUAGGGGAUACCGUGAUCAUGCAGGCGAUUUCCCCAGGGGGAGGCUGCUCCGUUGCACUGCGGAGUGGUUUACCCUUGCGAUUAUUGUUAUUUUUGUAUCAAUAAAAAUCAUAAUAAUAAAAAAAUUUAAUAAUAAAAAAUGUAUACCCGAAUAAUUAUUUUCUGUGUACC
rnacentral:snRNA from 9 species